CAACACGUACGUAGUCUGGUUGUUAAGGUGAGAGGAGACGACAACACGUACGUAGUCUGGUUGUUAAGGUGAGAGGAGACGACAACACGUACGUAGUCUGGUUGUUAAGGUGAGAGGAGACGACAACACGUACGUAGUCUGGUUGUUAAGGUGAGAGGAGACGACAACACGUACGUAGUCUGGUUGUUAAGGUGAGAGGAGACGACAACACGUACGUAGUCUGGUUGUUAAGGUGAGAGGAGACGACAACACGUACGUAGUCUGGUUGUUAAGGUGAGAGGAGACGACAACACGUACGUAGUCUGGUUGUUAAGGUGAGAGGAGACGACAACACGUACGUAGUCUGGUUGUUGAGAGGAGACGACAACACGUACGUAGUCUGGUUGUUAAGGUGAGAGGAGACGACAACACGUACGUAGUCUGGUUGUUAAGGUGAGAGGAGACGACAACACGUACGUAGUCUGGUUGUUAAGGUGAGAGGAGACGACAACACGUACGUAGUCUGGUUGUUAAGGUGAGAGGAGACGACAACACGUACGUAGUCUGGUUGUUAAGGUGAGAGGAGACGACAACACGUACGUAGUCUGGUUGUUAAGGUGAGAGGAGACGACAACACGUACGUAGUCUGGUUGUUAAGGUGAGAGGAGACGACAACACGUACGUAGUCUGGUUGUUAAGGUGAGAGGAGACGACAACACGUACGUAGUCUGGUUGUUAAGGUGAGAGGAGACGACAACACGUACGUAGUCUGGUUGUUAAGGUGAGAGGAGACGACAACACGUACGUAGUCUGGUUGUUGAGGAGACGACAACACGUACGUAGUCUGGUUGUUAAGGUGAGAGGAGA